rfam:Oryza brachyantha chromosome 5, whole genome shotgun sequence.
AAUAAUCUUAUUUUUAUUUUUUCGUGUUUAACGUUUGAUCAUUCGUCUUAUUUGAAAAAUUUGUGUAAAAAUUAAAAAAUUAGUCAUGUAUAUAGUACUAUUCAUAUCUUAUCAUUGACUAAUAAUAAAAAUAUAAAUCACAUAAUAAUUUUAAAUAAGACGAAUAAUUAAACGUUAGACACUCAAAA